UGGCGGACGGGUGAGUAACGCGUGGGUAACCUGCCCUGUACAGGGGGAUAACAGCUGGAAACGGCUGCUAAUACCGCAUAAGCGCACGAGGAGACAUCUCCUUGUGUGAAAAACUCCGGUGGUACAGGAUGGGCCCGCGUCUGAUUAGCUGGUUGGCAGGGUAACGGCCUACCAAGGCAACGAUCAGUAGCCGGUCUGAGAGGAUGAACGGCCACAUUGGAACUGAGACACGGCCCAAACUCCUACGGGAGGCAGCAUG
rnacentral:rRNA from 1 species